rnacentral:misc_RNA from 1 species
AACGCACAUUGCGCCCCUUGGUAUUCCGAGGGGCAUGCCUAUUCGAGCGUCAUUAUCACCCCUCAAGCCCCGGCUUGGUGUUGAGGCCUGCCGUCAAGGCACCCUCUAAAAUCAGUGGCAGUGCCGUCAGGCUCUAAGCGUAGUAAUUUCAUCGCUAUAGACCCGGGCGGACCCUCGCCAGAACCCCCCAUUUUUUAAUGAUUGACCUCGGAUUAGGUAGGGAUACCCGCUGAACUUAA